rnacentral:rRNA from 1 species
UAUGGCUGUCGUCAGCUCGUGUCGUGAGAUGUUGGGUUAAGUCCCGCAACGAGCGCAACCCUUGUCCUCAGUUACCAGCACAUAAUGGUGGGCACUCUGGGGAGACUGCCGGUGACAAACCGGAAGAAGGUGGGGACGACGUCAAGUCAUCAUGGCCCUUACGGCCAGGGCUACACACGUGCUACAAUGGUGCAUACAGACGGUUGCCAAGCCGCGAGGUGGAGCUAAUCUGAGAAAGUGCAUCGUAGUCCGGAUUGGAGUCUGCAACUUCGACUCCAUAAAGUCGGAAUCGCUAGAAUCGUAGUCAGAAUGUCACGGUGAACGUCCGCU